GCAAUGUAGAACUAAUGAAGAUAUAAGUGUUGAGAUGUUUCCCAAAAUGCCUCACAAAUAUUCUGGGAUGUCACCUUUUGCAAUGGAUCUGCAGGUUCCAUCGUGCCCUAGCUUUUUGCCUGAGGGGAGGCUCUGGCCAUGGGUCCCUUUUCAGGUCAGCAAGAGUGCCGUGCAGAGCAGGAGCCCCAUCCAAUGCUCUACAGCUCUGGACUCCUGCCAAUCCUCCCUUGGCCAAGGCCUCCAGAAGUCAGAGAGCGAGGGAACAUAUGAACUAUCUAUCCUGGUCUACUGUCAAUCUCCUUCCACUGAAA
rnacentral:lncRNA from 10 species